UUCACAUUGCGACUAUGCGCAAUUAGCCUUAAAUAUUUCCAAACAUUGCCUAUAAUUUGCAUUUAGGCGCACAUUCAUAACAGGAUGAGAAGCAUGUAACUCAGCUGUCAUUUAUCCCAUUCUAAAAUUUAAAUGUGUGAGUUGUUGGCUAAUCUUCAAAGACUGGUGCCAUGGUCCAAUUUGGGCAUGUGCGACAUCAUCAUCCAAUUCAAUUUUCAGUAGCAAUUUGUUUUCUGGUCCCUUUGGCACUCUAGUAGCAUAUCCACGUGGCAUGCCAAUAUCAAUAUAUUUGAUAUUAGAAAUCUUAACUGUAGGAGAUCAAAAUCAAGGGUCAAGUAAGACCUAGACUUCGAUCCAUCCAAACCAUUGACCGCAUGCGAACACCAAAUUACAGAGCGGCUAUUUUGAAUCAAUGUACAGCAACAGCACUCGAGAACACAACUCGUCGACUAGGAUCUACGGCGAGCACAAAGACAAAUUGAUGAGGAAAUUACUCAAACUAGAGGCACCUAAGAGUCAAAGGAAGGACGAGGAAGCCAAACGCAAAAGGCAAACACCGACCAAGCGCUCAUACACUCUCCUCAGCACUGAAACCAAUCAGGCAAAGAAGACGAGAAAGGUUGCUGACGGGACAAGGGAUCUUCUCCUUAUGGAGAAGAUCACAGAAAGGGAAAAUAAGGCUAAGGAAGAGGAGGAAGAGGAUAUGAAGGCUCUUAAAAAAAGAGGUGAAACAGUUGAAGGUCCAAAACCAGGAACUGAAAACCCUGAACAUUGUCUCUGCAGAGAGGUAUGUAUUGCUAUAGGCAUGUUUGUGUUGUUAUUAAGGAAUCAUCUGAAUGUCUCUCUCUUCUGUCUGUCUCUCGCUCCUUUCAUAUGAUUGAAUUGAAAAGAGGUUUAUUUGUAUCUGUUUUUCAAUCUCAUGAGUAGCCUUGCUUCUAAAACUUGAAGCUGUGCCCCAGCUUCUACCCUCUCAGGUCACUGCCCAACCACUUACAAAGGUAAGUGCUUAAUUAGCCAUUCAGAAAUUGUACUUGUCAUCUUUCAACGUUGAACAGUGCUAAGAUAUUAGUGUAUGAUUAUGUUAACAUUUAUACAGCCAGGACCAUCGGCAGAGGGGAUUACCCCUUUGGGCAUCAGUAAUGCCAUGCUGCGGGCCUGCGGUAGAGGUGGCACCUCCAAGCACAACCAUGGUUAAAGAGCUGGCUGUGGCUUUUUGGGAGACAGGUGAUUGCUACCUAUAGAUUAUCUGCAAAAAUUGGAAAUGCCAAUAAAGGGACUUCAGCAAAGCCGGCCCUUGAUGAGGGAAAAGUCAAACUGAUAAUUGGUAUGGGAAACAUUUAGAUCCUAAUGCAGCACUAGAAAGUGAUUUCCAGUGGCAAAACCCAUAUAUUAACUCAUAAAAUGUUUUACUUUUGACCCGAUUUGGAUUUCUAGGAACUGUGCAAAACAAGUUUCCAGAUAUACCCCCCAAAUUCAUCCGAGCAGCACUAAGGGAGAAGAUGAACGAUGAGCAUAAACUUCACAUCAAGUAUAGGUUUACAUACUUUCUUGUCAUGUAUAGGUGUGUUUUCAGUGUUAAUAUACACAUUUCUUCUGUGUUUUCAGACAAAAAAUGCUUACAUGGCCAUUGUUUCCCUUAACCCCAAAUUACCCCUUUUAUUCAGUUAUAGUAUAACCCCUCCUAUACUCCGCGUCCUACA